GACUUCAGAAAAACUGAAAGUUAAUUACUGAAGUUGGAUUCUCGAUUACCACAGGACAAAAAAAAAAAAAAAAAAAUGGACUCCACUCAGAACAUUGCAACUAUUGCAAGAUGAACUGGACUUCAUAAUCCACUUCUGCUCAGCUACAAAUGCAUUGACUGUGCUCUCUGAUUGUUGUUAAAACUUGACUUCCCAUAGCCCUAAUGACCGGUAGAGACUAAACAACCUUGUUCAUGAAGACAGGAACAAAAAUUUCUUUCUCCUGGGCAGUACUGAAAUGAGUGCAGUGAACCUAACGUUCAAUGCUACAGUCAGGAUGCAGUCGCUCCUUCCCACUCCACUCCGUCUCUCCAUUGAGCAACACCCAAUGGGCCAAAACUGCAUUUUCGCCACAUACCGAAAUAACUAGUGAUGGAGUUUUUCAGGUGAUUGAGCUGUAACUACUGAUCUGCUAAGUUAUUCAAGAUUUCUGUGUUAAGUUCUACAAACUGAUAAUCUUCUUUGCCUUCAUCAUCUUUUACAAUUUCUGAGUUCUGAGUCUGGAGUGCUCUUCGUGGAAGGCAACCUCUGAUUCUCUGCAAAUGUGGUAUUGCAGCAGGCCACGAUCUUUCUGUGCAAGUUCUUUUUCAAGAGUCAGCUAAUUCAUCACGCCUGAAAAUGCUAGAUGAAAUAGUUUCUUUUGCACUGGAAGCACCCGUGAGGUCCACAUCUGAGGUAUUGGAUGAAUGAAGCAUGGAUUUCUUUAUGAGGCUAUUACUUAACAUUUUCUCUUUAUUGUAACCAAAGCUCUGUCUCAAGGUUAAAAAACUUUCAAGAAUAGAGAUCAGCGGUAUGUCAGCAGUUUAUCACCUUAGCCCAUUUCUGCCUAUGUCUACUGUAACCUUGGAUAUUCACCAGGCCUUCUGGAAGAGAAAGAAACUCUAACUUCUUUAUGCUUCACUGUGGAACUCCCUGCUUUUAUUUUUUCCUUCCUAUGAAAUGGGAAGUAAUAACGAAGGGCUUUGAAAUAAAAUGAAAAGACCUGGAUUCAAAUUCUGACCUUGAUCACACAUUUACUCUGAUGAAAUAGCAUAUAAACUACUUAGUUAUCUUAAUACAAUCUUAUCCAAAAUUGAGUACUGUCUUCUUCUAUUUUUCUUCUUUUCUUCCUCCUCCUUUUCUUCUUCUUCUUCUUCCUCUUCUCCUCCUCCCUCUCCCCUCCUCCCCUCCCCCUCCUCCUCCUCCUCUUCCUCUUCUCCUCCUCUUCCUCUUCCUCUUCUUCUUCCUCCUCUUCCCUCCUCCUCCUCCUCCUCUUCUUCUUCUUCUUUCUUUUUCUUCUUCAUCUCCUUCUCCUCCUCCUCCUGCUCCUCCUCCUCCCCCUCCUCCUCCUCCUCCUCCUCCUCCUCCUCCUCCUCCUCCUCCUCCUCCUCCUCCUCCUCCUUCUUCUUCUUCUUCUUCUUCUGCCUAUUAAUGCAUAAGCAUAAUCAGAUUGAGGAAAACUGUGGAACAUCUUGUAUUUUAAAAUUCUAAGUCUUAGUACAAAUGAAAAACCCAGUUUUGUUCCAUUGAUUACAGUAUGCCUACAUAAGGAUUACUGGUGGUAGAGAGAAAUGAAUAACUGUUUUAUGCAUGAAACAAUGAGUCUGUAUAGUAGGUUAAAUAUCAGCUUUCAAAAUGUACUCUAUUGUACAAAAGACAAAUGAGAGGGGGAAAUUAAAUGUAAACUAUUCAGUGAGAAUUGUAACCAUCUUCUGCUUCUUUUAGUUGACAAUGUGUUCAUGUUCUCAGUUUUAUUUGUCCUGAACAGCAUUAAAGAUGUUGAAUUUUGACC
rnacentral:lncRNA from 1 species